AACGAAUGCUGGCGGCGUGCCUAACACAUGCAAGUCGAACGAGAAAGGGGCUUCGGCUCCGAGUAAAGUGGCGCACGGGUGAGUAACACGUGGGUAACCUGCCUCUAAGAUUGGGAUAACUCGUCGAAAGAUGAGCUAAUACCGAAUAAGACCACAGUUCCCGCGGGAACAGGGGUCAAAGGUAGCCUCUGCUUGCAAGCUAUCACUUAGAGAUGGGCCUGCGCACCAUUAGCUAGUUGGUAGGGUAACGGCCUACCAAGGCAAAGAUGGUUAGCUGGUCUGAGAGGAUGAUCAGCCACACUGGAACUGAGACACGGUCCAGACUCCUACGGGAGGCAGCAGUGGGGAAUAUUGCGCAAUGGGCGAAAGCUUGACGCAGCAACGCCGCGUGAGUGAUGAAGGCCUUCGGGUCGUAAAGCUCUGUCGGGAGGAACGAAUGCUCCUGAGGUUAACAGCCUCGGGAGGUGACGGUACCUUCAAAGGAAGCACCGGCUAACUCUGUG
rnacentral:rRNA from 1 species